GUGGGGAAUUUUGGACAAUGGGCGCAAGCCUGAUCCAGCAAUGCCGCGUGCAGGAAGAAGGCCUUCGGGUUGUAAACUGCUUUUGUACGGAACGAAACGGUCCGGGUUAAUACCCUGGGCUAAUGACGGUACCGUAAGAAUAAGCACCGGCUAACUACGUGCCAGCAGCCGCGGUAAUACGUAGGGUGCAAGCGUUAAUCGGAAUUACUGGGCGUAAAGCGUGCGCAGGCGGUUUUGUAAGACAGGCGUGAAAUCCCCGGGCUCGACCUGGGGAUUGCGCUUGUGACUGCAAGGCUGGAGUGCGGCAGAGGGGGAUGGAAUUCCGCGUGUAGCAGUGAAAUGCGUAGAUAUGCGGAGGAACACCGAUGGCGAAGGCAAUCCCCUGGACCUGUACUGACGCUCAUGCACGAAAGCGUGGGGAGCAAACAGGAUUAGAUACCCCAGUAGUCC
rnacentral:rRNA from 1 species